rnacentral:rRNA from 1 species
AUUGAACGCUGGCGGCAGGCCUAACACAUGCGAGUCGAGCGGCAGCGGAAAGUAGCUUGCUACUUUGCCGGCGAGCGGCGGACGGGUGAGUAAUGUCUGGGAAACUGCCUGAUGGAGGGGGAUAACUACUGGAAACGGUAGCUAAUACCGCAUAACGUCGCAAGACCAAGAGGGGGACCUUCGGGCCUCUUGCCAUCAGAUGUGCCCAGAUGGGAUUAGCUAGUAGGUGGGGUAACGGCUCACCUAGGCGACGAUCCCUAGCUGGUCUGAGAGGAUGACCAGCCACACUGGAGCUGAGACACGGUUCAGACUCCUACGGGAGGCAACAGUGGGGAAUAUUGCACAAUAGGCGCAAGCCUGAUGCAGCCAUGCCGCGUGUAUGAAGAAGGCCUUCGGGUUGUAAAGCACUUUCAGCGGGGAGGAGGGUGUUGAGGUUAAUAACCUCAGCAAUUGACGUUACCCGCAGAAGAAGCACCGGCUAACUCCGUGCCAGCCGCCGCCGUAAUAC